rnacentral:rRNA from 1 species
UACAGAGGGUGCGAGCGUUAAUCGGAAUUACUGGGCGUAAAGCGUGCGUAGACGGUUAUUUAAGUCGGGUGUGAAAGCCCCGGGCUCAACCUGGGAAUUGCAUUCGAGACUGAAUAGCUAGGGUACGGUAGAGGGAAGCGGAAUUUCCGGUGUAGCGGUGAAAUGCGUAGAUAUCGGAAGGAACAUCAGUGGCGAAGGCGACUUUCUGGCCUGUUCUUGACGCUGAGGCGCGAAAGCUAGGGGAGCAAACGGG